rnacentral:rRNA from 1 species
UACGUAGGGGGCAAGCGUUGUCCGGAAUCAUUGGGCGUAAAGAGCGUGUAGGCGGCUCGGUAAGUCCGCUGUAAAAGUCCAGGGCUCAACCCUGGAAAGCCGGUGGAAACUGUCGAGCUAGAGUCCGGAAGAGGCGAGUGGAAUUCCUGGUGUAGCGGUGAAAUGCGCAGAGUAUCAAGGAGGAACACCAAUGGCGAAGGCAGCUCGCUGGGACGGUACUGACGCCUGAGACGCGAAAGCGUGGGGAGCAAACAGGG